UUUAAUGGAGAGUUUGAUCCUGGCUCAGGAUGAAUGCUGGCGGCAUGCCUAAUACAUGCAAGUCGAGCGGUAGCAUGGCUUCACCGUUCUCUUGACACACUUGGCUAUUAUGCGAGUGGUAAGAUUCGAGGGAACUGUGAAGCUGAUGACGAGCGGCGGACGGCUGAGUAACGCGUGAGAACAUACCCCAAAGUGAGGGAUAACUAGUCGAAAGAUUAGCUAAUACCGCAUGUGA
rnacentral:rRNA from 1 species